GGAUAACUCCGGGAAACCGGGGCUAAUACCGGAUGGUUGUUUGAACCGCAUGGUUCAGACAUAAAAGGUGGCUUCGGCUACCACUUACAGAUGGACCCGCGGCGCAUUAGCUAGUUGGUGAGGUAACGGCUCACCAAGGCAACGAUGCGUAGCCGACCUGAGAGGGUGAUCGGCCACACUGGGACUGAGACACGGCCCAGACUCCUACGGGAGGCAGCAGUAGGGAAUCUUCCGCAAUGGACGAAAGUCUGACGGAGCAACGCCGCGUGAGUGAUGAAGGUUUUCGGAUCGUAAAGCUCUGUUGUUAGGGAAGAACAAGUGCCGUUCAAAUAGGGCGGCACCUUGACGGUACCUAACCAGAAAGCCACGGCUAACUACGUGCCAGCAGCCGCGGUAAUACGUAGGUGGCAAGCGUUGUCCGGAAUUAUUGGGCGUAAAGGGCUCGCAGGCGGUUUCUUAAGUCUGAUGUGAAAGCCCCCGGCUCAACCGGGGAGGGUCAUUGGAAACUGGGGAACUUGAGUGCAGAAGAGGAGAGUGGAAUUCCACGUGUAGCGGUGAAAUGCGUAGAGAUGUGGAGGAACACCAGUGGCGAAGGCGACUCUCUGGUCUGUAACUGACGCUGAGGAGCGAAAGCGUGGGGAGCGAACAGGAUUAGAUACCCUGGUAGUCCACGCCGUAAACGAUGAGUGCUAAGUGUUAGGGGGUUUCCGCCCCUUAGUGCUGCAGCUAACGCAUUAAGCACUCCGCCUGGGGAGUACGGUCGCAAGACUGAAACUCAAAGGAAUUGACGGGGGCCCGCACAAGCGGUGGAGCAUGUGGUUUAAUUCGAAGCAACGCGAAGAACCUUACCAGGUCUUGACAUCCUCUGACAAUCCUAGAGAUAGGACGUCCCCUUCGGGGGCAGAGUGACAGGUGGUGCAUGGUUGUCGUCAGCUCGUGUCGUGAGAUGUUGGGUUAAGUCCCGCAACGAGCGCAACCCUUGAUCUUAGUUGCCAGCAUUCAGUUGGGCACUCUAAGGUGACUGCCGGUGACAAACCGGAGGAAGGUGGGGAUGACGUCAAAUCAUCAUGCCCCUUAUGACCUGGGCUACACACGUGCUACAAUGGACAGAACAAAGGGCAGCGAAACCGCGAGGUUAAGCCAAUCCCACAAAUCUGUUCUCAGUUCG
rnacentral:rRNA from 1 species